GANGUGCUUGCACUGAAUGAGAUUUUAACACGAAGUGAGUGGCGGACGGGUGAGUAACACGUGGGUAACCUGCCCAGAAGCAGGGGAUAACACCUGGAAACAGAUGCUAAUACCGUAUAACAGAGAAAACCGCCUGGUUUUCUUUUAAAAGAUGGCUCUGCUAUCACUUCUGGAUGGACCCGCGGCGCAUUAGCUAGUUGGUGAGGUAACGGCUCACCAAGGCGAUGAUGCGUAGCCGACCUGAGAGGGUAAUCGGCCACAUUGGGACUGAGACACGGCCCAGACUCCUACGGGAGGCAGCAGUAGGGAAUCUUCCACAAUGGACGCAAGUCUGAUGGAGCAACGCCGCGUGAGUGAAGAAGGGUUUCGGCUCGUAAAGCUCUGUUGUUAAAGAAGAACGUGGGUGAGAGUAACUGUUCACCCAGUGACGGUAUUUAACCAGAAAGCCACGGCUNACUNCGUGCCAGCAGCCGCGGUAUUCAAUUUU
rnacentral:rRNA from 1 species